UGGGGUCACGGACUGGAAUUGCUACACUGCCCACCUGCCGGUGUUUCCUUCCUCGGCAUUGGCUGCUUUCUACUCGUCUGAGCUAAGCAGCCCCCAUGAGCCAGUGCCCCUGUCAGAAUCCACAGAGCCACUGGCCCCACCGCUGGUGAUGAUAAACAAGCAGGCUUAUUUUUCUUUGUUUAGAAUUCUAGCAAGACCGGCCAGUUUUUUCUUUUAAACUACCAAAGCUCAGUUAAAUCAAACCGAGGAUUAAGUGAAAAUAUCAGCCAACAAGAUCAAUAAAUCAUUAACUCGAGUGGCCCUUAGAGACCCGUUGCCUGGUUUGCUUUGCCACAUGACAGGGCUUUCAGCGACUUCUGACGUGGAAGGAAGGUUGGUAAUGGUUUAGCUGAGCGUGAAUGCAUGUGUUUUCCGCGUGCUCGGGUGGGGAAGGGCCGAGAGCGAUACUGUACCACCACCUAGUGCUAAAUACACGCACAUCACCCACAAUGCACACGUGCUUCCGGAAGGUCGGGACAGCCUCCAAAUAACAUAGCGCUGGGUGAUGAAACCUAAGGGCAACAGAUCUCGUUAUUCCUCACGCAUGCCUUUUGCUUAUUACUUCUGGGGUUUCCCUGUGGUGGCUGAGGCACAAAAAGCUUCAGGACUUUGCGGGCAUUUUGGCGUGUCCUUGGCUUACCCGGCCUGGCCUGAGAUAUCACUGGCAACAGGACAAGAGAGAGGAGAUGGGCCAAUGCUGGAAGGACAGUCCACCAUUCAGACAGAAGGAAAUACACACCGAAUGGAAAAUGAAGACACAGAGAUCAACAUCCAAAUCCUGAAAGCAGUAACAGUGCAGUGCUCAGUAAACGGCUUGGUAAAAAAUUUCAUUUUAUCUCCUGGAUCAACAUCAAAUCCACCAGAUGGGGCUCUAAUAUUCUUUUAGUUCAAUGACAGAAAAUUCCAAGCAUUUACUAUUAUCUUUAGAGACAGAAAAUAUAUUUCCCAUAUUAAAAGAAUUUGCUUGAGAUAGGGCUGUGCCUUAAUAGGCAUUAUCAUUGUUUAGUAUCUUUUAAUGCUAUAAGGUGAUUUAUAUCGAGAGUGGCCAUUUUGCUGAGAAUCCAGGCAUCCAAAUAGUUGAAUUAAAUCAAUUCAAGUAAUUCUGAGUUAAAUCCUUUUGCAAACGUUCUUUUAAGGAAAUAAGGACAUAUUUCACACACAAAUAGAUGCAUAUUGCUACAGGACUGUUCUGUCUUUGGAGUCACUGACAUAAUUUAAAAUGUGGAUUGUUUAAAAUUAUAUUAAAUCAUUGUGAAAUUUGUCACAGCUGCAAUAUACUCAGCCCAAUCCAGCUAUUUUGACAGGUUGUGCUUUAAGAGUUAGAAAUUGAGAUUUUUUUUUUUUUUUUCAGGGCAGGGAUGUGGGUUCUCCAAAGAAAACAUUUUGCUUCUAUUUUUCUGAGGUUUAGAUUUGGAAAUCUGAGUCUCUUCUUGGACUCCUUUCUCCGUGACUCAUAACUUUUGUUCAGUCUGGAAAGAAUGCCAACUUGGGAACUACAUCUGAAUUUUGAUUGAGAGAGUGGGUGGGUCAAAAUCACAGACUUGAGACUGAGCUGGGUCGGACCCAUAAUGUCAUCCAGUGGAAAAGUCCUGAGUUAGAACCAGGAGCCGGGCUUUAAUGAUGUCUCAGGUCAGCCUGUCAUGAAGGACCACCACCACCGGUAAUGAAGGUGAUUUCUAACACUCACCCAAAGUGUCUAUGUGUUGACCAUUUUGUCCUCCUUCCAUUGGCCUCCGGGCCUGGCUGAGGCUCCCUUUGGGAAAGACAGUUCUCCAGAGAAGGUGGUAGCUGAGGUCCCAGCAGGCGACAUGCACGGGAGCUGGGGGAUGGGUGCACAUCUGUCCUUCUUGUCGCUCGGGUCACCAGCUGCACAGCCCCAUGUAGACUCACUUGGCAACGAUACCUCCUGGAGCUGAGCAACGCCACAGCCCUAUUUGUACUAAUCUUCCUAAAAGGGAAAGUUUUGUAGAUUGUAAAGAUUAGUGAACUUUUAUUUCCAGGAAAACUGGAAGUACAUAAACAGUCUAAAUUGGCCCCAGUGGAGUUAGUCACCUUCCUGCCCGCCCCCCCCUCCAACCAUAUUUGUAGCUAAAACAUGAAAAGUAUCAAAUAGACAUGCUUGCUUAAGCCAUUAGAUGUAUUUGGUGCUGUGGCCAGCAAUUUCUAAGGAGGCUACAGGGGGUUAGAACCCACAGCCCCACCCUGCAUCCCCGUCUUUGGAGUGGGGCUGGCUCAAUCUACUGCUGGUUAGAGGCCAGCCAGGAAAGUAAAAAGCAAGUUCUGGAAGGCAUGAUGAAAACUAGUGUCAAGUGUCUCUUAAGAGGCUGGAGGCUCUGGGAGAAAUACCUUCCAGGGAUUCUCUCUUGUGUGUCCACCAUCAGAGCUGGCAGGCAUCAUCAUCAAACCCAGUUUUGUACAAGCGAAGACGUGACUUGCCCCAGGCCAUGCUGCAUUGGCAGUAGAGAGGCAUUCAGCACUCUUGGGCUUGAUUUGGGAAAUAAGAGGGCGCUCACGAGCAAUGAAGAGUGGAAGAACAGACAGCACUCGGAGAUCUUCCAAGAAGGCAGACAACCUCAGGGAACUCAUCAGGGAAUCACAUUUAUUGAGUACCUAUUAUGUACCAGCCUCUGACACACAUAGAGUGCAGCUCCUGGGUAGUGAGGAAGGACAUAGGUUUUGGGAUCAGAUGACCAGAAUUCACAUCCGGAGUCAGCCAUUUCCCAGGCGAACAGCUCCUCUUGAAACCUACACACUUCAGUUUUUAAGCUUCACCGUGGAAAUACUGGUCCCUGUGUCACAGAGCGUUUCAAAAGAUCAACUGACAUCACUUGCAUAAAGUGCUUAUUUUACAGGUAGGAGGGAACUACUUCUCAAAGGCACCAAGUGGGUGCAGGUGUAAAGGGAAUACUGGUACAGGUCUCUCUGACUUCUGGCCCCUCUGAUUGAAUACCCUGCGGGGAUGAAGCAGAGACUAGGUUGAAGGGGCGGGCUCAUGUCUUGCAAUAGCUCCACCCCUCUGGCAUCAUCAGCAAGGGCUCUUCUCCGGCUGUUGACUCUGCCUUUUGAACGUGCCAAACUCUCCCCAGCCUUAGAGUGUUGGCCUUGGUUUGAAUGCAGUUUGGGAUUCCAUUGCCCUGGCCACUGCUGGACUCACUCCCUCACCCUCUUUACGUUCUUGCUGAGAUUUUUACCUUCUUGUGAGGCCUCUCCCGCACAGCCUGACCACCAUUGUAAUUCCCAAUAUGCUUUUUCUUCUUUCCAAAUGCUCCAAGAGGGGAAGGAUCUGCGUCUGUUUUCUCCCCCCACCGCUGAUGCAUGCCCAGUGCCUAGAAUGGUGCCUGAGACUUAGUAACCAGUUAAUAGACGUCUGAUGAAUGAAUGUUGAAUGAAUGAGCAGAUGCAGAGGGAGGGCUGAAGGAAGGCAAGAGAAGGAUAAGGCCUCAAACAGGAGUUUUGAGUACUGAAUUUUGAGCCUAAAGGUAGUAGGGUGGUAUAAAGCUCAGUUACUUAUGCUAUAGCUCAAGGUCAGAUUGACCAGGGGCAAGCUUGAAUUUCUGUAGAGUUGUGUAAUAUUGAACUAGGACUUCUUGCCCCCGUGUGGGUCAGGGCUAGUUGCAGGUUUCAGACAUCAGCCUGCAUCUUUUCAUUCAGCCCGUAAGUCAACGAUAAAGUAAGUGACGUAUUCCCAGUAAACAGAUCAUGCAAUAUUUUGUUUAAUGUGUAGUUGGCUGCAAUUGCAUACGCAGGCCAAAAAUAGCAAACAGAGACAGGCUGGGUCUCGUGAGAAGCGUUUGUUUUAAUUCUCACUUACGAAUGCUGUUUAAUUUGAUGGGAGCGAACAAUGUACGUUUCACGAAUUAAUACAUAACCGGAAACCGUCAUUGACGGCCACCAUGUCUGCAGCUGUUUUGAUGGGCCUUAUCGAUUGGGUUCUGGGCUGCAGCCCGGCGGAUCCAUCUUAGUUGCCACGUCUUCCCUGAGCCUCAGUUUUUUUGCCUGUAAAGUGGGUUUAAUAAUUAGCUCAAGGGGUUAUUCAGAGAUCAAAGUACUGUUGGUGCCAGUUUUUAAGUUUUCUUUACAAGUUGUAGUAGGGGCGCCUGGGUGGCUCAGUCGGUUAAGCAUCCAACUCUUGAUUUCAGCUCAGGUCAUGAACCUAUGGUUCGUGGGUUCAAGCCCCGUAUCGGGCUGUAUGCUGACAGUGAGGAGCCUGCUUGGGAUUCUCUCUCUCUCCUUCUUUCUCUGUUCCUCCCCCGCCUGUACUCUCUCUCUCCCUCUCUCUAUCAAAAUAUAUAAACUUAAAAAAAAUAAACAUAAAAGCAUGUAACA
rnacentral:lncRNA from 1 species